rfam:Schistosoma haematobium scaffold224_26, whole genome shotgun sequence.
GCACUGCUGAGGAGUCCAUUAGUGGGACGAAACGACCGUCCAGUGC